rnacentral:lncRNA from 10 species
GUUCGUGUCUUCGAACAGCCCCACCAGAUAAGAAAACUGAGUCUCAGAGAAAUUAUGGCUUGUCCUGGGUGCCUAGAGGAGGUCUCUCAUAGAUGCCCACGUUCUCUUGACAAGAUAUUUGGGGAGGACCCCUGGCUACUGUCACUGCUGCCAUGCCUGCCAGGAGGAGGCACCUUCCUGACACUUCACUGCUGCUGCUCAGCAGGCCUGCCAAGUGGUUCUGCUGUGUUCUAGGAGAAACAGGAAAAAUGCCUCUCCUCCCACUUUGCACUGUGCUUUGUCACCUGGGCCCUAAAACACCAUUGCCUGCCCCUGACGCCCCAACAGCUCCCUCUACCAAACUGAGGCUGGGCUGGGAGACUAGGCACUACACCAUUCCAUUCUCCCUUCUCUUCUUCCAUUCUCCCUUCCCUCCCUCUCUUCUUCCCACUGCCUCCAAGACACCUGUACUGGAACUUUGUCCAUUCUUACACUCACACACACACACAUGCACAUGCAUAUGUGUACACACAAAAGUCUCUUGUCCAUCAGAUCAUACAAAUAUAUGCUUGGGACAGGGGUGAUCACAUGCCCCACAUGCCCAGUGGACAUUUAGGCUCAGAUAGGACAAUUCUUUCACAAGGAUGACAAAACCUACCUUCCGUGGUUGCUGUGAGAACAAGAAAUUGUACAUACAGUGCCCAUUCUACAGCAAACCCAACAAUGAUUUAAAAUCCACAAUAGGCCGUGCGGUGGCUCACGCCUGUAAUCCCAGUACUUUGGGGGGCUGAGGCGGGCGGAUCACGAGAUCAGGAGAUCGAGACCAUCCUGGCUAACACGGUGAAACCCCGUCUCUAUUAAAAAUAUAAAAAAUUAGCCAGGCAUGGUGGCAGGCGCCU